rnacentral:rRNA from 1 species
UACGGGAGGCAGCAGUGGGGAAUAUUGCACAAUGGGCGAAAGCCUGAUGCAGCUAUGCCGCGUGUAUGAAGAGGGCCUUAGGGUUGUAAAGUACUUUCAUCGGGGAGGAAAAACAAAACUAAUAAUUUUAUUUCUUGACGUUACCCGAAAAAGAAGCACCGGCUAACUCCGUGCCAGCAGCCGCGGUAAUACGGAGGGUGCUAGCGUUAAUCAGAAUUACUGGGCGUAAAGAGCACGUAGGUGGUUUUUUUAAAGUCAGAUGUGAAAUCCCUGGGCUUAACCUAGGAACUGCAUUUUGAAACUGAAAUACUAGAGUAUCGUAGAGGGAGGUAGAAUUCUAGGUGUAGCGGUGAAAUGCGUAGAUAUCUGGAGGAAUACCUGUGGCGAAAGCGGCCUCCUAAACGAAUACUGACACUGAGGUGCGAAAGCGUGGGGAGCAAACAGGAUUAGAUACCCGU